GGCCCUAUCGUCUAACGGCUAGGACGACACCCUUUCACGGUGUAAAUCGGGGUUCGACUCCCCGUGGGGUCACCA
rnacentral:tRNA from 1 species